UACAGAGGGUGCGAGCGUUGUCCGGAAUCACUGGGCGUAAAGCGCGCGCAGGCGGUCCUUUAAGUCAGGGGUGAAAGCCCAGAGCUCAACUCUGGAACUGCCUUUGAAACUAGAGGACUUGGGUACGGGAGAGGUGAGUGGAAUUCCGAGUGUAGAGGUGAAAUUCGUAGAUAUUCGGAAGAACACCAGUGGCGAAGGCGGCUCACUGGCCCGUUACCGACGCUCAGGCGCGACAGCGUGGGGAGCAAACAGG
rnacentral:rRNA from 1 species